UGGCCAAGAAGAACCACCCCUCAUUACAGAGGCAAUAAAAGGCAAAUUGAGAAAAGAGUUGGGCUAUAUAUUUAAACGUUCUCCCCUUGGUCGACUGUCUUCUUCUUGCGUUACUGGAGAUCUUAUAGCAGACGACAACCUUCUGUCAUCAUGGUGGCUUCUAAAAUGUCCGGUCUUUCAGUUCUGGUAGUUCUACAGGUUUUCCUCAGUGUUGGUAGUGCUUACGAUUUCGGUUGUCCAACACUGUUCGAUUAUUAUCCUCACACUAACGAUUGUUCACGAUUCUACCGAUGUGUAUGGGGAUCUGCCCAUGAGUUUUCCUGCCCUGCUGGAACCCACUGGAGCCAGAGACUUCUAAUCUGUGAUCAUAUCUACAAUUCACCUUGUAUACAGGUCAGCAACGUCGGCUCUCCAUACCAAUCUUACGACUUUUACAAUUACGACAACGCUGCCGCUGCCAGUCUUAGCCAGGAAUUCGUCGAAGAUAGAACUACCAUAGAAAACACCAACGAAUUUGUUGCCGCCAACAACGUCAACGGAUAUCCCGUCGUUCAACACGACGCCGGAGAUUACGUUAGCAAUCAAGGAUACGGAUACGCCGCCGGGUACGAAUAUCCAAGAGCUCACUGGCCUGCAUUGGGUUAUGCCCGUGAUGGUGUUUCUAGUGACGGAUGGGCUGCCCAAGCAGGAUAUGAAAGCUAUUCCCCCUGGUUCCAACGAUUAUUGGGAAACAAUGCCCAUGCCAAGAAGAAAUAAACUUGCCCUAACUUGACUCAUUAGCUCUGUUUCCUCCCUUUUUUCCAUUUCCCCUUUUUUGAUAAGUAAGAAGAACAUGAUAGAAGUCACAGAGAGGACCAUGACAUAGUUUAAUUCGUUUAUAGAGUAAGGUUAAGGAAUCGUUUAAUCGGGACGCUUAGUUCUUUACACCAAGAAACAAGUGCGCGUUUCUCACAGAACGGCCAUUUUGAAAAACAAUUUUCCUCACUCUCAUUACAUCAAAAUAAAAUAAACUGAAGUUCUUUGAAAAUAGAUCACUUGAUUUAACCGCUUUUCUUAAAUGUUGAUGUGUGUUUCUUUUUAAAUGUUUGUAGAUAAAUUUCAUAAUAUAACAUACGCAUGUAUGUGUUGAACAAUUGAAGUGGCCACUGAUACUGAUAUAGUGCCUUCAAAAGUUUAUUGUUUGAAACGGUAUUGUUAUGUUUAUCAUCAUCCCUCAUCCAGGGAUGUUAUUUGUCAAGCAUAUUAUUAUUAUUAUUUAUAAUCUGUACUAUAAUUGUAAAUUCUAUUAUUUCUUUUUUUCUGUAUUAUAUGAAUUUUUUGGACAUAAAAGGUUGGGUAUCUUUAUUUCUUCA